GUGAAUCAUCAAAUUUUUGAACGCAAAUUGCACUCUCCUCGGAGAGUAUGCCUGUUUGAGGGUCAGCCAAAAAAAAAUUUUACAUUUUUUUUUUUUCUCUUUUACUUUUUUCGUAAAUUUUUUAAUUUUAAACCUUUUGGUUUUUAUUUUUUUUAAAUUUUUUUUUACGUUUCCCCGAACGUUUCUUA
rnacentral:misc_RNA from 1 species